rnacentral:lncRNA from 13 species
AUCUGGUCGUGGGCAUAUUUCUCAGUAGCAACAUUUUCUUCUUGAAAAGCAAUUUCGUAUUUUUUAGCCAGCAUAGAUACUUGCUAAAUAUUCCAAAACCACUGCAUUUUUUUGCAAGCAUUCCCUGUGCUGCAUUAGGGGCGUGUGGCUACAUCACUGUUUGACAUCUGUUUUUUUUUUGUUUAGCUUAGUUUUGUUUUUGAGACAGUCUCUCUGUCACCAGGGUACAGUGCAGUGGUGUGAUCUCAGAUCACUGCAGUGUCCUCCUACUCCAUUCAAGCAAUUCUCCUGCCUGAAACCCUUGAGUAGCUGGACGAAAGUCUCUGACCACCACCACACCCACCUUUUUUGUAGGUUUAAGUAGAGCCGGGUUCACCAUGUUGGCCAGGAUGGUCUCAAUCUCUUGCCCUCAUGACAUGCCCCCUCAGCCUUCGAAUGUGCUGGGAUUACAUGUUUGAGGCACCGUUUUCAGCCUGCUAUCUGGUUUUCUUAUGUCACCGAGUGAAAACAAGACCUGUGCCAACAGGACCCAGCAUGAUGUAAUCCUCAUGGUGUUUCUUUUUGUCUUAUUGCAGGAGAAGCCUGCGGCCAAGUAUCACCACCGUCCUGUUGAGGUUUUACAGGACCUCGUCCUAGAAGACAUAGAGGAUGAUGAGAUGCCCCCUGAUGUGGUAAGAUGCAUUUCUUAGUCUUGAUGAGAAAUAUUUCUUCCUGGUGUCUCUGGAAUAUCAGGUGAAUAUCAUUUUUGACUGCCAUUGUGAAUGAGACCUCAGUUGUCAUGGACUCUAGCGAGCAGUCAGUGGAGUUUCUGACCAACUGAGGCCUGAUUGACGAUGUCAGUCAAAAGAUGGCAUAACUCACAAUCUGGUCGUGGGCAUAUUUCUCAGUAGCAACAUUUUCUUCUUGAAAAGUAAUUUCCUUUUUUUCAGCCAGCAUAGAUACUUGCUAAAUAUUCCAAACCCACUGCAUUUUCUGGAGGUAAUCCCCUGUGCUCCAUUAGGGGCAUGUGGCUUCAUCACUG